CUUCUUCCUUUGGUCAGGACUGAAGAGGCACAGGAGUGAAUUGAGCAGGAGAGCUCUCGUGAUGGAGACACUUCUUCAUUCCCAGGAGUAAAGAUGGUUUUGCAACAUGGCUUGAGGUUCAUACCUCAAGACCGUUUGGAGAAGGGGAAGAAAUCUCAGCCAGCCUAGGAAACUCAGCAGAGAACCCCUGGAAAAAGUAUUCAUUGUUUUCUUGGUGCACACCUGGGCCUCCUGACAGAUACCACAGCUUAUACACUCUGGGCAUGGUGGGGCACCAUUGAUGGGCUGCAGUGUCUGUAAUAGCCUCUCCCCGAGACAGCUUGCUGUCCACAAGGGGCUUGUAGGGGCAAAAAGAUGGCCAGGCUGACUGGCUGGUCUUAGAAAGAGAAGGCUGAACUAGUUGGAUGUUCUUCGACAUGUCAUCUUUUUCCUUUGGAGAGGACUGUAGAAGCCCAGGGACAGACUGAGGAGCAGAAGAGCUCUCCAUCCCCAGGGGUAAGGAUGGUUUUGCAACAUAGCCAGUGAGGGGUCAUGGCUUAAGACCAGGUGGGGAGGGGAGCAAUUCUAAUUUGGGGAAACCCAGCCAGCCUAAGAAAGUCAAGAAGACUCUCUUGGAUUCCUAGAAAGAUCUUGAUGAUCUCUAUAUUGGCAAAUAUUAGGGAGGACCCAUUUUGAGCUUGUUGGCCACAUUUUCCAAUUUCUGCAGUCUCUUUGCCCUUUGGAAUGAAGCCUACCCUCCUGGGAAUCCAGACAACAUUACACCAGACACAGAGAGCUUUGAUUUAUACCUUCAAAUGAACAAUGGUUACUUUCAAGUUUUGAUGGGUGUUCAGAUGACUGCCUGGAACCACAGGAUGGAAGAUGUUAAGUCUUUUCUCAAUUUGGCAAGGUACGUGAUCUCAGCUGAUGGAUUCUGAAGCCCCCAAGAAGGCAGCUGCACUACUGCCCUAAAGAAAAAAGGCUCGGAAAAAAGUUUGAAUAGGAGAGGGAUCUCCACCCUCUACCUCUGCUUCUGAUAAAGGAGGAAUGACUUGGUGAGUCCGUUGGCAGUCCAGCCCAUUGGCUGGUCAGCUUGCUGUCCUUGCACAUCUCAUUUUCUUCCUCUGGAAAGGACUGAAAUGGCAGAAGAUGGCCAAGGAACAGAAGAACUCUCCUGAUGGGGACACAACUCCUACCUCAGAGACAAAAAAGGUUUGAUAUCUAGACAAGCAUCCAAAAAUACACGAAGCAGGAAAGGAGUCCUUGUCCAUGAAGGUAGAUAGCACCUUGGAGGGUGAAGACCCUUGCUUGUUUAAAAAGGGCUUGCAGGGUAGAAAAAGAUGGACAGGCUGACUGGCUCAUCUUCAAAAAAGGAGGUUGAAUGCCCUUACAUAUUUUACCUCCCUCUGGACAGCACUGAAAUGGCAGAAGAGGAAGCUGAUGACGAGAACUCUCCUGAUGGGGACACAACGUCUGCUUCAGAGAUUCGCCAUGGUCCUGCGAUGUGAUACAGAGGAGCAUGGAGAGUGCUGAUUCACAGAGUGGCCAAGAGUCGGACACAACUGAAUGGCUGAUGACAACAACAACGAUGACUAAUCAAAGAAUUGGAUCCGCCUCAGAGCUAGGUUUACUGUAUUUAUAGACAGCACCAAUCAUAAGCUUAAAAAUAAAGAACUUAUUAUUUAAUUUUAGCAGCCAAAUGAAUAAUUGUGCAUCAUUCGGAAACUAGAUAAUAUAACAACUGAAUUCUGGAUUAGUAAGGUCUGUUCAAUUUGUUAUUUAUAUAUUACAUUAAGGUGUUUUAAAUGGAAACUCUAAAGGAACAUAUAUUGCAGCCAGCAUAAGAUGUGAAUUUAGUAAGCAAUAGAUUUAACAAAAAAGAUCCAAAAUUCACUUAAGAAAAUACUCAAUAAUGAAAUUAACAAAAAAGAAAGGAGGAAAUACACCAUAGCAUUCAGAUACAAAAAAAGACCAAAGUCAUGCACAAUCAUGCAUUUUUCCUAUUUCAGAAAACCAGAGCAAGGGUUCACAGAUGCUGAACAUCCUCGUCUUGUGAUUGGUCAAAACCUACCUCAUCCCCAUCCAAAAUUAACAGAAAUGAUUGAUGGAUUUCCUCCCCCCACAUCCAGCUGGUCACAUUUGGUGAUGGGGGAAACAAAGGCAUGGGGAAUCAACCUAUUGCUUCCUAAAUUUGUCCAGAUUGAACACCACUCACAAGCCUGAUUCUUAGACAGAUUAGAAUUGGACUAUCAAGGCAGCACAAUUUAUUCUGGCCUUCUUUUCUGCUAACUCAAGAGACUGGAGGAAUAUAUGUUAACCAGGCUGUGAGAAACAGCCCAUUGCUGUCAUUUUGGCAUGCUUAUAAUUGAGUGAUUCUAGAAAAUACUAUAAAUUGCUUUUGGGAAAUGACUUGGGUAGUUUAAUGGCAUGAGAUGAGCUGGUCUUUGAAGUUGCCAUGGGAGCAACGAACAAACACUGACAGAAAAGACACUGACAAAAAAAGUGUCACUAAAUCACCUAGAACUUAGAGGUGAGAUCUGGGAUGAUCUGUCAUAGUUCUGAAAACCUAUGGAAAUCAUAGCAUAACAGAAUCCAGAGACAUUAUAGGUCUAGUCCAACCACUUGAUGACAGAUGACAACAGCAAUCCUCAGAGCAUCCCAGAGAAACUGUUGUUCAACCUUUCUUUGAAAAGCACCAGCGAUGGAGUGCUUAUGACUCUAAAUAUUCUGUACCUUGCUGCAGAAAAAUCUAGGACAUGAGAAAAAAACUUGUGAACGGUUCAUUGGGCUCUUAGUGAAGAAAACCUCCUUUCUUGACUGCUAUUGUAUAUAAACAGCUCUAAUGCUUCAAUAAUUAAAGAAAAACAUCUUCAUAGUCAUGCAAAUUCCUUUGCUUAACCAAUUCCUCUCACAAAUCACAGGGCCAGCGGAGAAAUUAGGAAGACCCUCCGUCUUCUUUCCUCAUUGUUUCAGACAUUCAGUUAUUUUAAAACCCUACUUUAUAUUUUGUUAAUUUUAUUUAAUAAAAUAGUGCAAAAACAUGUAUAUGCAUCUAUCUAUCUAGGUACAUUUUAUAGGUGAAUGUAUACACCAUUAGUGUGAAUUACAGGGCUAAAAUCUGAUUAGAGAAGAAGGAAAUACCUUCUAAAAGCAAUUAACUAAACAACAACCUUAGAUAUAUUUAUUAAUUUAUAUAUUCAUUCAUUGUAAUAUUUAGCUAUCUCUACAAAAGUUCAAGGUGGAGUAUCUGGUAUUCAAUUUUUCUCCAUAAUAAAAAACAUGAAUAGCUCACCUGAGAGAGAGACUCUUGGUUCAGAGUUACACAGUGAUCUUCUAUGACUGAAGGUGAAUUUAAUCUUGGGUUUUUCAUAUUUCUAAUUAAUGUCUUAACUGCUCUAUCACAUUAAAACACCACUAUUAUAAAAGAUAGGAAUCAAAAUACGGAAUUGUUCGUAGACACUGACCUUCCUUCUGCCUUUGAAGGAAAACUUUAGGACAGUGGUCCCCAACCUUUCUGGCUUGGUGGACUGGCGGGGGGCAGAGGUUAUUUCUGUGUGAGCGCUGGUGCAUGCUUGCACAAAUGGCAAGUGCUUGCCCACCACUUGCGUGACCCAGUUCCAAAGGGGGCACAGCCCAGAGGUUAGGGACCCUUGAUUUAGGAAAUAGUUAAUUUGAAAAAAAAUGCCUUGGAAAUUAAAGCAAGAGGGGAGAGUCGGGAUUAAAACUGUCCUCACGGUAACACCACAACUAUUGUACUGUGUAUAUCAAAACUAGAUGCAGGCCUUAUGAGAGACGUCUGCCCAAAUGCAGUUCAUUCCUACAUAAAAAUGGAGAAUUGAGUGCAAUUUUCUCUACAGCUAAAGAGCAAUGAUUGAUUAGUGUAGGGAGUUGCUUGUCCUGAAGUGUUCCUGCCAAGUUGUUCUGAAAAGUCACUGCACUAAUUCUUUUUCACAGGUUCUACACAAUCUCUCCCUCUGUAAUAUACUACCUAAAGUGACUUUUUGCAUCUUGAGAGAUGACCUGUCCAGUCUUGGCUGACCCUGGGAUCCUGAAAUACUGUUAGUCUCCUCAGUAUUCAGCUGUCAUCUGCAGUUGAAUGAUAAGGUGGAAGCCAGCUGAUAGCUCUUGUUACUUCCUUAUCACUACCCUCACUCUAACCUGCUCAGUGAGUAAUAACAAUUCCCAGGGAAAAAGAAGCUUCUAAUCAAUUAUUUAUUUUGAUCUGAAGGCUUUGCUUAUCCCAUCACCCACUGUUAUCAUAUAGAAAACUGGAGAAUCUUAUUAAUCAGCACUGCAUAAUGAUCUAGGCAUGCAAGUAUCUUGCAGGUCCACAUCCUGUUUCGGUAAAAGCAACAAAAAUGCUUACUGUCUCUCUUCCUGUUUAACGGAUAUGGCUGUUAUAAGAAACAACAAGUCUGGGUGAUUUGCACAGUUCCUUAUCAGGCAGCAGGUUAAAUAAACCAGAAGCAGGAGGAAUCAAAACACUGGGGUGGUGUCAUUUCUUGUGCAUAUACACAAUCUGGAAAUGGGAAAAAUGACAUGUUCUAGGAUAUAAGAACUAUGUGAUUUGAUUGCAUGAUGACACAUUCCUCAAAUAUUCUGUGAAUUACAACUCUGAGCAAUUUCUCUGUUAAAUGAUUUCAGCGUUGAAGCUUAGCGUGAGUUAUUUUGAAUGGCCUUUGGGGAAAAUGUGAACUCUUUUCUGAAAGGCUUUGGGCUACUGCCCACUAAUGAGAGACAAAAAAAAUUCCCUCUUUGGUAUCUUGCUGGCUUGCACUAUUGUCUUAAGGUUUCAAAUAAAGUUUUAAUAUCUCAAGUCUGAGAAUUGUGCUUUCUCAGCAACAAAAUUGUAGAACAAAAUAAUUAGAUAUUUGGCAGAAAACUGAUUUCAAGGGUAGAAUCUAGGUUGCUGUUUUUUUUAAUUGCAGCAGUUUUGCAGGGGUAUUCUCCUUCUGCUAUUCUUUUAAAAAGUUCUCUUCAUCACUUCCUUUUUUUGUCAUUAUUAGCUCUUUUGUUUCCAAACAUUCUGAAGAACUUUAUAGGAACCAAAUCCCAAUUCACAAAGAAGUAACUUUCUUACUAUCAUAUGUGCAAGCUACAUCUUAAAUGUAGUUUUUAAUGUAGAAAAGUUUAUUUAUUUUCUUUUUAUCCUACCAUAAAUAUUUUUAAUUCAAAGUGGCAAACAUAUCCAACACACUUCCUUCUCCUGUUUUCCUCACAACAACAACCCUAUGACGUGAAUUGGGAUCAGAGAAAGUAACUGGCCCAAGGUCACCCAACCAGCUUUCAUGACCAAGAUGGGACUGUCUCCUGGUUUCUGGCCUGAUGCCUUAGCCAAUUGACUAAACUGACUGCUUUGGGAAUUUGGAAUUGGAAUUGAGAAACUCUUGCUGCUUCACUGAUAGAAUUCAUGAAUGGAUUCAGAUAAUUUUUUCCCAUUUGUAAUUAUGCCUUUCUAUCUCUUCUUUCUUAUCAUGAAGUAUAGAUAUCACUGCACAAUGUCUUUGAUUAGUAGCAAUGUCUUUGAUUUGUCCAUAUAAGUUACCCUGAGAAAUGGAAUAGUCCUUGCUGAAAUGAUUAACAUUUGUACAUAUUAUGAAAUAAAUUAAUGUGAUUUUUCCUUCCUUCCUUCCUUCCUUCCUUCCUUCCUUCCUUCCUUCCUUCCU